UACGUAGGGUGCGAGCGUUGUCCGGAAGUUAUUGGGCGUAAAGAGCUCGUAGGCGGUUUGUCGCGUCUGCUGUGAAAUCCCGAGGCUCAACUUCGGGUCUGCAGUGGGUACGGGCAGGCUAGAGUGCGGUAGGGGAGAAUGGAACUCCUGGUGUAGCGGUGGAAUGCGUAGAGAUCCGGAGGAACACCAGCGGCGAAGGCGGCAUCCUGGACUGGUACUGACGCUCAAGAGCGAAAGC
rnacentral:rRNA from 1 species